rnacentral:rRNA from 1 species
ACGAACGCUGGCGGCGUGCUUAACCCAUGCAAGUCGAACGGAAAGGCCCUGCUUUUGUGGGGUGCUCGAGUGGCGAACGGGUGAGUAACACGUGAGUAACCUGCCCUUGACUUUGGGAUAACUUCAGGAAACUGGGGCUAAUACCGGAUAGGAGCUCCUGCUGCAUGGUGGGGGUUGGAAAGUUUCGGCGGUUGGGGAUGGACUCGCGGCUUAUCAGCUUGUUGGUGGGGUAGUGACUUACCAAGGCUUUGACGGGUAGCCGGCCUGAGAGGGUGACCGGCCACAUUGGGACUGAGAUACGGCCCAGACUCCUACGGGAGGCAGCAGUGGGGAAUAUUGCACAAUGGGCGGAAGCCUGAUGCAGCAACGCCGCGUGCGGGAUGACGGCCUUCGGGUUGUAAACCGCUUUCGCCUGUGACGAAGCGUGAGUGACGGUAAUGGGUAAAGAAGCACCGGCUAACUACGUG